UACGGAGGGUGCAAGCGUUAUCCGGAUUCACUGGGUUUAAAGGGUGCGUAGGUGGGCAGUUAAGUCAGUGGUGAAAUCUCCGGGCUCAACCCGGAAACUGCCAUUGAUACUAUCUGUCUUGAAUAUCGUGGAGGUAAGCGGAAUAUGUCAUGUAGCGGUGAAAUGCUUAGAUAUGACAUAGAACACCAAUUGCGAAGGCAGCUUACUACCCGAAUAAUUGACACUGAGGCACGAAAAGCGUGGGGGAUCAAAAC
rnacentral:rRNA from 1 species